rnacentral:rRNA from 1 species
AUUGAACGCUGGCGGCAUGCCUUACACAUGCAAGUCGAACGGUAACAGGUUAAGCUGACGAGUGGCGAACGGGUGAGUAAUGUAUCGGAACGUGCCCAGUCGUGGGGGAUAACUGCUCGAAAGAGCAGCUAAUACCGCAUACGACCUGAGGGUGAAAGCGGGGGAUCGCAAGACCUCGCGCGAUUGGAGCGGCCGACAUCAGAUUAGCUAGUUGGCGGGGUAAAAGCCCACCAAGGCAACGAUCUGUAGCUGGUCUGAGAGGACGACCAGCCACACUGGGACUGAGACACGGCCCAGACUCCUACGGGAGGCAGCAGUGGGGAAUUUUGGACAAUGGACGCAAGUCUGAUCCAGCCAUGCCGCGUGCGGGAAGAAGGCCUUCGGGUUGUAAACCGCUUUUGUCAGGGAAGAAAAGGUUCUGGUUAUUACCUGGGACUCAUGACGGUACCUGAAGAAUAAGCACCGGCUAACUACGUGCCAGCCGCCGCAGUAA